AUUCCAAUUAUUAUGUUAAAAUAUCAUUAGCCACAGCAAUAAAUAAAUUUCCUUAGCAAAUAAACUCUCAUCAGAUCUUUAUGGUGAUUUUAAGCCUUUUGUCAUUCUCAAUUUAUUGUUUUACUUUGAUUCUUCUCUGAAAGCAUUUACAAUCUGAUAUAGGCCAAAGUGUCUAAUGGAAAAGGCUCUGAAAAGUGCUACAGAAUAAAGGUUUCUGAUAACUUUAAGAUCAUACCAUUGGACUGGGUAAGAAUUUCCACAACUCUAAUAAAGCAACUGAUGAGCUCAUAAAAUUGCCAAGCCAAGAUACAGCAGAAUAAGACUUAAUUAGAUUUGACUAAAUAAACUGAAAAGGGUGAUUAUAAUUAUUUAAUAACCUUUUCUUCAAAAUUUUGCUGGCUCUUUUGUGCUUUGGCUUCCAGAUUUAAGAAAAGCAUUUUCUCUUAGGAUAUUUAUAGUUUACCGCAAUGUGGUAGGUUAUGUUUUUCUGUUUUUUACAAAGAGACAGCAUCUCUCUCCAUCAAUAAGGCAAGAGUGCAGCGGUGUGAUCAUAGCUCACUGCAGCCUUGAACUCUUAGGCUCAAGCUAUCCACUUGCGUUGGACUCCAAAAAUG
rnacentral:lncRNA from 10 species